rnacentral:rRNA from 1 species
UUUGACCGUGCGAAGGUAGCGCAAUCACUUGUCUUUUAAAUGAAGACCUGUAUGAAUGGCAUAACGAGGGCUUAACUGUCUCCUCUCUCCAGUCAAUGAAAUUGAUCUUCCCGUGCAGAAGCGGGAAUACACACAUAAGGACGAGAAGACCCUAUGGAGCUUUAGACACCAAGGCAGAUCAUGUUAAUAGUCCUGAAUAAAGGAACAAACCAGAUGGAACCUGCUCUAAUGUCUUUGGUUGGGGCGACCGCGGGGAAUUAAAAAACCCCCACGUGGAAUGGGAGCACCCCUCCUACAACUAUAGAGCUACAGCUCUAGUUAGCAGAAAUUCUGACCAGCAAGAUCCGGCAAUGCCGAUCAACGGACCGAGUUACCCUAGGGAUAACAGCGCAAUCCUCUUUUAGAGCCCAUAUCGACAAGGGGGUUUACGACCUCGAUGUUGGAUCAGGACAUCCUAAUGGUGCAGCCGCUAUUAAGGGUUCGUUUGUUCAACGAUUAAAGUCCUACGUGAUCU